UCUUGUCACCAAAAUCUCAUUUGGAUCCCAAACCCUUUCAACAUGUUCUGGGUUCCCCUUGUGAGCCUCCUGUUCAUCAUGUGGUGCACAGGCGCAAAUUCUCAGCUCACCGUGUCUCAACCACCUUCAGCCUCAGUAUCACUUGGGAGCACCACGAAACUCUCCUGUACCAUCAGUAUGGAUGGCAGAACUAUACGCUGGUACCAGCAGAAGCCUGGGAAUGCCCCUCGAUUCCUGUUAUAUUAUUACACAGAGUCCAGCAAAGGUCAAGGCUCAGGGGUCCCCUCUCGCUUCUCUGGCUCCAAAGACUCCUCGGGCAAAAUUUUCUACUUGACCAUCUCUGGGGCCCUGGCAGAAGACGAGGCUGUUUAUUACUGUGCAGCUUGGUACAGCGAUGCUUGUCACGGUGUUACAGGCUAAUGGGGAAGUAAGACAA